GCGCGCGCGUGCGCGAGUGCACAUGCACGUGUUGUGUUGUGUUUCCUCCAUAAGAAAUUCUUUUCCUGGAUUUGUGAUCCCUGUGGAACAUUAAGAACCUCUCCGAUUGAAUCUCAGGGAGGAACCGGAGGUAUGAAUGACAACUGUUUGAGAAGAAGGUCCCAAAUCCCUCUCUUAAAACCUUGGGAUUGUGCUUGAGACUCAGCCCCGAUGUGUUCCGUGGUGAGUCACUCACCUGGUUUACCCACACUGUAUGCUCCCCCUACCUGCCCCUACCUUGUCAUAAGUGCUGAGGAUUGAACCCAUGGCCUCGUUGCAUGUCAGGUGCUGGGAACAUUAAAUCUUCAUGUCUGGAGGACAAGAAAACUAAAAUACAGACAUGGCGCCUGCCUGGAGUGGUGGUAUGAGUGCCCAAUCUCAACGAAACAACCAAGGCCACCUGUUCCCAUUUUUUUUUAUUGCUGUUGUUACAUGUGUAUAUGUGACAUAUGUGCAUGUAUGUUCAUGUGUUUGUGGGUACACAUUGUAUGCCGGUGUGUGUGGAUAUGUCUCUACGUGGCCAUUGAAGAAAUUAAAACAGGAAGACUCGAUUGUUA
rnacentral:lncRNA from 1 species